GAGACGUGGUCUUGUAACACAGUGGUUAAGAAUGUGACUUUGGAGCCAGCCUGCUAGGGGCUGAAUUCUGACUCAGCCAUUUAUUAACUGUGUGACCUUAGGUCAUAGAAUUUUCCACACUCCUUGACGGAGGUUCUUAACCCUUAUCCAUCAGCAUUCUCAGACAGCACCUCCGGUUAGGGACAGUAUCUGACCGUCCGACAUCCCUGCAGCCCCCAUGCUGUCACACAGACUCAGCCUCAGGUAGAUGGUUUCCGUAGAUGGUGGCUUUCUUUGGACCCUUGAUAUCAACCAGUUACUAUUUGACAGGGUCUCACUGUGUCAUCCAGGCUGGAGUGCAGUGGUGUGAUCUCGGCUCACCACAACCUCCACCACCUGAGUUCAAGUGAUUCUCCUACUUCAUCCUCCCAAGUAGCUGGGACUACAGGGGACCAGAUGUGCAGAGGUAAUGAAUACCAGGGAAUCAGGAAACCACUGGAUCAGUUCUUUGAGCCAUAGAACAACACUCAUCCCAGCAGCUGGGAAGCUAUCUGCAAAAGUCCAUCUGCAGAAAGGGCUUCCUGGUCUUGCGUGUGGCUGGGCCAUUUCUCUGGAUGCAGGUUUUUCAUUAUACAGUCUUCUCAAAGGACCACCUGCUCUCAACACCUUCUCGGUGACUCCAUUUCCCCUCCUCU
rnacentral:antisense_RNA from 1 species